rnacentral:rRNA from 1 species
UUAAAGGGUCCGUAGCCGGCUUAUUAAGUCUCUUGGGAAAUCUGGCGACUUAAUCGUCAGGCGUCCAAGAGAUACUGAUAGGCUUGGGACCGGGAGAGGUGGGAGGUACUCCAGGGGUAGGGGUGAAAUCUCGUAAUCCUUGGGGGACCACCGAUGGCGAAUGCAUCCCACCAGAACGGGUCCGACGGUGAGGGACGAAAGCUGGGGGCACGAACCGGAUUAGAUACCCGGGUAGUCCCAGCUGUAAACGAUGCUCGCUAGGUGUCAGGUGCGGUGCGACCGCAUCUGGUGCCGCAGUGAAAACUUGAAGCGAGUCACUUGGGAAGUACGGUCGCAAGGCUGAAACUUAAAGGAAUUGGCGGGGGAGCACUACAACGGGUGGAGCCUGCGGUUCAAUUGGAUUCAACGCCGGAAAGCUUACCGGGUCAGACAGCAAUAUGAAGGUCAAGCUAAAGACUUUACCGAAUUCGCUGAGAGGAGGUGCAUGGCCGUCGUCAGUUCGUAUCGUGAGACAUCCUGUUAAGUCAGGCAACGAGCAAGACCCGUGCCCACAGUUGCCAGCAUACCCUCCGGGGUGAUGGGCACACUGUGGGGACCGCCGCUGCUAAAGCGGAGGAAGGGGCGGGCUACGGUAGGUCAGUAUGCCCCGAAUCAUCCGGGACUACACGCGGGCUACAAUGGUUGGGACAAUGGGCACCUACACCGAGAGGUGAUGGUAAUCUCCUAAACCCAGCCUUAGUUCGGAUUGAGGGCUGCAACUCGCCCUCAUGAAGCCGGAAUCCGUAGUAAUCG